rnacentral:rRNA from 1 species
AGUGAACGCUGGCGGUAGGCCUAACACAUGCAAGUCGAACGGCAGCACAGUAAGAGCUUGCUCUUACGGGUGGCGAGUGGCGGACGGGUGAGGAAUACAUUGGAAUCUACUUUUUCGUGGGGGAUAACGUAGGGAAACUUACGCUAAUACCGCAUACGACCUACGGGUGAAAGCAGGGGAUCUUCGGACCUUGCGCGAUUGAAUGAGCCGAUGUCGGAUUAGCUAGUUGGCGGGGUAAAGGCCCACCAAGGCGACGAUCCGUAGCUGGUCUGAGAGGAUGAUCAGCCACACUGGAACUGAGACACGGUCCAGACUCCUACGGGAGGCAGCAGUGGGGAAUAUUGGACAAUGGGCGCAAGCCUGAUCCAGCCAUACCGCGUGGGUGAAGAAGGCCUUCGGGUUGUAAAGCCCUUUUGUUGGGAAAGAAAAGCAGCAGGUUAAUACCCCGCUGUUCUGACGGUACCCAAAGAAUAAGCACCGGCUAACUUCGCG